CUACCACCACCACCACCACCACCCCGCUGAGAAAGUAAGGUGGAGCGGCCAAUCCACCUCACUGUUAAUGAGAACAAAAAUAUGAAGAAACUUACUUUGUCAGUAGUGCCAAGCUUCCAGUCAUCUUCAUUUACGAGAUUUGAACAAAUUACAACAGAACUUUGGUUAACGAAGAGCAUGAUAGAGCGAAUUAAUGGUAACUUGACACUAUUCGAUGUUAGGACCUAAUAAAAAUCACUUCAUUUACGUCACUUAUUAUUUUUUUUUACAACAUCUCUCUUCAAAGUCUUCCUACGUAUUAAACGAAAAAUGCUAUCAAUCGCACAGCAGGUAGCAAUAUUUUCCACGCAUGUAAUUGGUCCAUCGUAUGUUAUCGAAAAUAUAAAAACAUGCCAUUUUCAUUAACAGAUAGGUAAGUAAAAUACAAGUACCUAGGUACACUAAGGUUUGAACAUUUACCGAGAAGGAAAUGGUUAAACAUGAAAUCGACACCAAGUAUAGGCCUAUACGGAAUUAGUUGAACACGAAGACAGAGUCGUUAUUAUGUUUAGGAUAUGCUACAAAUGUGUCACUUGACUGUAUGUGCUACGAGUGGGUAUAGGUGUUCUAAGAAAAAAAAAAACAUUCAUAUUUGUGACAAUGAAGAAGUAACGGGAAAUGAAGGGUAGUUUUUUAUACUGAAGUAAAAUGGUAAAAAAAAACUGUUGGGAGAAAAAAUAUUUGCCUAUUGGUUAGUAUGGUUCCUACUCCUAGAGGACAUGACGAAAGAAACGAUGACUAAAUUCCAUGCGAGAAGGACUUUUUUAUAUUUUAAAACCACGUGAAGAUACAUGAAACUGAUAUCAGUAUUGUUAGAUUAGAAAGUCGUUUUUGAACGUGUUGUUUUUUUUGAUUGUUUCUUAUUUCAUCUGUAUUUUACAAAGAACUAUAACUCAGUGUUUUGCAUACUAAAAAUGUCUCGAAGUCUGAUUUUACUCUUGAUCUUGGUGUCGAUUUCAUGUUUAACCAUUUCCUUCGGUUCUGGCCUCAAAUAUUAUCAAGUUACCAACAAUACGCUCCAUCAGCUCUUCGUUAAUCAAAGUUGUGCUGUAAUUUGUUCAGAUAAUGAGGUUGAGUGGAAGCUUGGCACUACUGAUAAAGCUACAAAUUCAAUAGAUGACGAGAAUCCAUAUCAGAAGAUUUUCAAAAUAUCGAAAGCCACAAUUUAUGAUACUGGUGUAAUGUAGAUCCAAAAUGGAACCCAGCAUGUUCAUAAGAUUUAUAAUUUCCGUUAUUGAUGGCGACAUGCCGGGCUGGGUAACUCCUGACAAUUGGCGGGAAACGCUAGUUCGAGAAAUACCGUUGAACAGAUUAAGUGUGUGAAUAUUUAGAUGGACCUCGUUGUGAUUCCUCAAGCACAUGGUCAUGAUAAUAACAAUACUUUCUUAUUGGUAUAUUAUGUUCAAGAACAGGAUCACCGAAAGUAUAGAACUUGACUGACGAAAAUUUUUGCGACAAAAUCUGUUUUUUUUUUCAAAUUUUUUUUUGCAUUAUACCUACUUAUUUAUGUUAGAAUUGUAAAAUACAUAUUAUUA